rnacentral:rRNA from 1 species
UUGACCUCGGAUCAGGUAGGGAUACCCGCUGAACUUAAGCAUAUCAAUAAGCGGAGGAAAAGAAACCAACAGGGAUUGCCUCAGUAACGGCGAGUGA